rnacentral:rRNA from 1 species
CCCUUAGAUGUUCUGGGCUGCACGCGCGCUACACUGAUGCGUUCAACGAGCCUUCCUUGCUCGAGAGAGCUGGGUAAUCUUCAUGAAAACGCAUCGUGAUGGGGAUAGGCGCUUGUAAUUAUUCGCCUUGAACGAGGAAUUCCUAGUAAGCGCGAGUCAUCAGCUCGCGCUGAUUACGUCCCUGCCCUUUGUACACACCGCCCGUCGCUACUACCGAUUGAAUGAUUUAGUGAGGACUUCGGACUGGGACCGAUGCGGCUUUCGGGCUGCGUCGGUAUUCUGGAAAGAUGUCCAAACUGUAUCAUUUAGAGGAAGUAAAAGUCGUAACA